GAUGAACGCUGGCGGCGUGCCUAAUACAUGCAAGUCGAGCGAACAGACGAGGAGCUUGCUCCUCUGACGUUAGCGGCGGACGGGUGAGUAACACGUGGAUAACCUACCUAUAAGACUGGGAUAACUUCGGGAAACCGGAGCUAAUACCGGAUAAUAUAUUGAACCGCAUGGUUCAAUAGUGAAAGACGGUUUUGCUGUCACUUAUAGAUAGAUCCGCGCCGCAUUAGCUAGUUGGUAAGGUAACGGCUUACCAAGGCGACGAUGCGUAGCCGACCUGAGAGGGUGAUCGGCCACACUGGAACUGAGACACGGUCCAGACUCCUACGGGAGGCAGCAGUAGGGAAUCUUCCGCAAUGGGCGAAAGCCUGACGGAGCAACGCCGCGUGAGUGAUGAAGGUCUUCGGAUCGUAAAACUCUGUUAUUAGGGAAGAACAAAUGUGUAAGUAACUAUGCACGUCUUGACGGUACCUAAUCAGAAAGCCACGGCUAACUACGUG
rnacentral:rRNA from 1 species